rnacentral:rRNA from 1 species
AUGAAGGGCAACAUGUCUAGCAACACCUUCAUGGCCAAGAUGAAGAGCCUCGGUGAUGAACUCGCUGCGGCUGGCCGUCCGGUGAGCGAUCCAGAGAUGGUCGACUACAUCCUUGCCGGGCUCGAUCGGGACUAUGAUCCUAUCGUUGCAGCAAUUGGUGCCAUCAAGAACUCCAUCACCGUCGACGAUCUCUUCGCACAGAUAUGUGGUUUUGAUCAAGGGAUGGAGAUGAUGGGCGAUGGGCCAUCUGGCUUCCGCUCAUCUGCUAACGUCGUCUACAGGGGGCAUGGUCAGUCUCGUUCCAGAGGCGGCCGUGGGUGGGGGGACAGGGGACGCGGCCGUAGCAAUCGCGCCUCUCCCUCUCCUACUCGCGGCGGUGGCAGCGGCAGUUAUCAACAGUGCCCACAGCGCCCACGUCUACAACCACAGCAGCAACAUCAACAGGAAGAGGACUAUCCUGAAUGUCAGAUCUGCUACAAAUUCCAUGCUGGCGGUGCAAGAGCUUGCUGGCAUCGAUAUGACGAGGAUCAGGAAGAAAAGAAAGUAGCAAAUCUCAUCACCAACUCCUACGGGAUUGACACGAACUGGUAUGCAGAUUCAGGCGCCACCGAGCACAUCACGGGGGAACUCGACAAGUUGACAAUGCGAGAAAGAUACCCUGGAGGUGACCAAGUGCACACGGCAAGUGGAAAGGGAUUUGGCAACGAGGAGAGUAAUUCUUAG